UAAGGUAACGGCUUACCAAGGCAAUGAUGCAUAGCCGAGUUGAGAGACUGAUCGGCCACAUUGGGACUGAGACACGGCCCAAACUCCUACGGGAGGCAGCAGUAGGGAAUCUUCCACAAUGGACGCAAGUCUGAUGGAGCAACGCCGCGUGAGUGAAGAAGGGUUUCGGCUCGUAAAGCUCUGUUGGUAGUGAAGAAAGAUAGAGGUAGUAACUGGCCUUUAUUUGACGGUAAUUACUUAGAAAGUCACGGCUAACUACGUGCCAGCAGCCGCGGUAAUACGUAGGUGGCAAGCGUUGUCCGGAUUUAUUGGGCGUAAAGCGAGUGCAGGCGGUUCAAUAAGUCUGAUGU
rnacentral:rRNA from 1 species